rnacentral:rRNA from 1 species
ACGAACCGAGCGAACGUUGUUCGGAAUCACUGGGCUUAAAGGGUGCGUAGGCGGGCUGCCAAGUUUGGGGUGAAAUCCUCCGGCUCAACCGGGGAAGUGCCUCGAAUACUGGCGGUCUGGAGGGAGGUAGGGGCGUGCGGAACUAACGGUGGAGCGGUGAAAUGCGUUGAUAUCGUUAGGAACUCCGGUGGCGAAGGCGGCACGCUGGACCUCUUCUGACGCUGAGGCACGAAAGCCAGGGGAGCAAACGGGA